UGAGGUGUAGCUCAGCAGUAGAGUGCUUGCCUAGCAUACAUGAGGGCUUGACUUUAAACCUCAGUACUUCAA
rnacentral:tRNA from 1 species